GAUGAACGCUGGCGGCGUGCCUAAUACAUGCAAGUCGAGCGAACGGACGAGAAGCUUGCUUCUCUGAUGUUAGCGGCGGACGGGCGAGUAACACGUGGAUAACCUACCUAUAAGACUGGGAUAACUUCGGGAAACCGGAGCUAAUACCGGAUAAUAUUUUGAACCGCAUGGUUCAAAAGUGAAAGACGGUCUUGCUGUCACUUAUAGAUGGAUCCGCGCUGCAUUAGCUAGUUGGUAAGGUAACGGCUUACCAAGGCAACGAUGCAUAGCCGACCUGAGAGGGUGAUCGGCCACACUGGAACUGAGACACGGUCCAGACUCCUACGGGAGGCAGCAGUAGGGAAUCUUCCGCAAUGGGCGAAAGCCUGACGGAGCAACGCCGCGUGAGUGAUGAAGGUCUUCGGAUCGUAAAACUCUGUUAUUAGGGAAGAACAUAUGUGUAAGUAACUGUGCACAUCUUGACGGUACCUAAUCAGAAAGCCACGGCUAACUACGUGCCAGCAGCCGCGGUAAUACGUAGGUGGCAAGCGUUAUCCGGAAUUAUUGGGCGUAAAGCGCGCGUAGGCGGUUUUUUAAGUCUGAUGUGAAAGCCCACGGCUCAACCGUGGAGGGUCAUUGGAAACUGGAAAACUUGAGUGCAGAAGAGGAAAGUGGAAUUCCAUGUGUAGCGGUGAAAUGCGCAGAGAUAUGGAGGAACACCAGUGGCGAAGGCGACUUUCUGGUCUGUAACUGACGCUGAUGUGCGAAAGCGUGGGGAUCAAACAGGAUUAGAUACCCUGGUAGUCCACGCCGUAAACGAUGAGUGCUAAGUGUUAGGGGGUUUCCGCCCCUUAGUGCUGCAGCUAACGCAUUAAGCACUCCGCCUGGGGAGUACGACCGCAAGGUUGAAACUCAAAGGAAUUGACGGGGACCCGCACAAGCGGUGGAGCAUGUGGUUUAAUUCGAAGCAACGCGAAGAACCUUACCAAAUCUUGACAUCCUUUGACAACUCUAGAGAUAGAGCUUUCCCCUUCGGGGGACAAAGUGACAGGUGGUGCAUGGUUGUCGUCAGCUCGUGUCGUGAGAUGUUGGGUUAAGUCCCGCAACGAGCGCAACCCUUAAGCUUAGUUGCCAUCAUUAAGUUGGGCACUCUAAGUUGACUGCCGGUGACAAACCGGAGGAAGGUGGGGAUGACGUCAAAUCAUCAUGCCCCUUAUGAUUUGGGCUACACACGUGCUACAAUGGACAAUACAAAGGGCAGCGAAACCGCGAGGUCAAGCAAAUCCCAUAAAGUUGUUCUCAGUUCGGAUUGUAGUCUGCAACUCGACUACAUGAAGCUGGAAUCGCUAGUAAUCGUAGAUCAGCAUGCUACGGUGAAUACGUUCCCGGGUCU
rnacentral:rRNA from 1 species